UGCUUGGGAAUAUGCCUUAUGGUGGGGGACAACAGUUGGAAACGACUGCUAAUACCGCAUAAUAUCUACGGAUCAAAGCGGGGGACCUUCGGGCCUCGUGCCAUUUGAUUAGCCCAAGUGAGAUUAGCUAGUUGGUAAGGUAAUGGCUUACCAAGGCGACGAUCUCUAGCUGGUUUGAGAGGAUGAUCAGCCACACUGGGACUGAGACACGGCCCAGACUCCUACGGGAGGCAGCAGUGGGGAAUAUUGCACAAUGGGGGAAACCCUGAUGCAGCCAUGCCGCGUGUGUGAAGAAGGCCU
rnacentral:rRNA from 1 species